rnacentral:misc_RNA from 1 species
CUUGAUGUGAUGAAACAAAGCCUGAAAUUCUUGAGGGUUAAUGUACAGCUCAACAAUGAUAAAUAUGGUAAAUCUUAUGCUAAAUCCAGUGGUAGUUCUACCCCCAAGAGAUCUCCUCGAGUCCAGUGCCCAUUGCCAAACAUCAACAUUGGUGCCGCUGAUAUGCUGAAAUCUGUGCCUGAGCCAUUACGUGAGGCUUUGUGUGACUUGCUUUCAAAAAUAUCCCUUGACUUGACUUCAAAAAUAGUUGCUCCCAAUCCUGUCUGCGCUGAGAUUGUUGACUGCUUGUCAAAAAUGGGACAAACCAUCCUAAAUCCACCUCAGCAGUUUCAAGCUGGCGCAAGUUCAAGCAACCAAACAGGGGCUACAGAACACCCAAUGGCUUCAGUAGUGCCUGGUGAGGCAAGUGCUACCAAUGAUGAACCUAGCCGAGAGGUGAGGAUUGCAAAUGUGACUAGAACUGUGGGUGUGCCUGCUCCUGUUGAUUUGAAUCUGGAUCCUCCUUGUGAUUCCAAUCCAUCUGGAUGUGCAAAUGCAAUCUCUGCACCAACACCUCAUCUUGAUGACAAGAAAGAAACUAAGAAACAGAAUGCUGGUCAGCCAAGUGACAAAUCUGUUGCUAUUGGUGCAUCCUCUAGCUCUACUCAUUCAGCUUUAGCAAGGUCACUUGGUAAUGAAUGUCCAUUUAGUGGAAUGCCUGUGGUAAAUGACUCAUCUGUUCCUCCCUUUACACUGCAUCGAAUUAGUUCAUCUAGGAGGAGCAAUGGUCGCAAUGAUGCCAUGGUUGGCAUGUUCCAUAGAG